rnacentral:rRNA from 1 species
AAUGAACGUUGGCGGCGUGCUUAACACAUGCAAGUCGAGCGAGAAAGCUCCUUCGGGAGUGAGUACAGCGGCGGACGGGUGUAGAACACGUGAGAAUCUGCCCUCUAGUGAAGAAUACCCUCGAGAAAUCGAGGCUAAUACUGCAUAUUCCCUUCGGGGGAAAGGUGGCUUUAUGCUGCCGCUAGAGGAUGAGCUUGCGCGCUAUUAGCUUGUUGGUGGGGUAAAAGCCUACCAAGGCGAUGAUGGCUAGCCGGCCUGAGAGGGUGUACGGCCACAUUGGGACUGAGAUACGGCCCAGACUCCUACGGGAGGCAGCAGUGAGGAAUAUUGCGCAAUGGGCGAAAGCCUGACGCAGCGACGCCGCGUGGAGGAUGACGGUUUUAGGAUUGUAAACUCCUGUUUAAGUGGGAAGAAAAAGCCAAAUCUCUAAUAUAGAUUGGAAAUGACGGUACCACUAGAGAAAGCACCGGCUAACUUCGU